UACAGAGGGUGCGAGCGUUGUCCGGAAUCACUGGGCGUAAAGGGCGCGUAGGUGGUGACCUAAGCGUGCGGUGAAAGCCCGAGGCUCAACCUCGGGUCGGCCGUGCGAACUGGGUCACUGGAGCAGAAUAGAGGCAGGUGGAAUUCCGGGUGUAGCGGUGGAAUGCGUAGAGAUCCGGAAGAACACCGGUGGCGAAGGCGGCCUGCUGGGUUCUGGCUGACACUGAGGGACGAAAGCUAGGGGAGCGAAUGGG
rnacentral:rRNA from 1 species